AACGAACGCUGGCGGCAUGCCUAACACAUGCAAGUCGAACGGGACCAUCGGGUCUAGUGGCGCACGGGUGCGUAACGCGGGGGAACCGGGCCUUAGGUUCGGAAUAACUCCCCGAAAGGGGUGAUAAUACCGGAACAGGUCUUAGGACCAAAGAUUUAUCGCCUUUGGAUGUGCCCGCGUUGGAGUAGCUAGUUGGUAGGGUGAGAGCCUACCAGGGCGACGAUCAAUAGCUGGUAUGUGAGGCAGAGCAGCCACACUGGCACUGGGACGCGGCCCAGACUCCUACGGGAUGCAGCAGUGGCGAAUAUUGGACAGUCGGCUGUAUCCUGAUCCAGCACUGCCGCUUGAGUGAUGAAGGCCGUAGUGUUGUAAAUCUCGUUUACCCGUGAUGAUAAUGACAGUACCGGGAGAAGAAGCUCCGGCUAACUCCGUG
rnacentral:rRNA from 1 species